rnacentral:rRNA from 1 species
UAGAGGUUUUAUCCUGGCUCAGAUUGAACGCUGGCGGCAUGCCUAACACAUGCAAGUCGAACGGCAGCACGGUGGAGCUUGCUCCAUGGGUGGCGAGUGGCGGACGGGUGAGUAAGGCAUCGGGAUCUGCCCCGACGUGGGGGAUAACGUAGGGAAACUUACGCUAAUACCGCAUACGUCCUGAGGGAGAAAGCGGGGGACCGCAAGGCCUCGCGCGUUGGGAUGAACCGAUGUUCGAUUAGCUAGUUGGCGGGGUAACGGCCCACCAAGGCGACGAUCGAUAGCUGGUCUGAGAGGAUGAUCAGCCACACUGGGACUGAGACACGGCCCAGACUCCUACGGGAGGCAGCAUGGGGAAUAUUGGACAAUGGGGGCAACCCUGAUCCAGCAAUGCCGCGUGUGUGAAGAAGGCCUUCGGGUUGUAAAGCACUUUUAUCAGGAACGAAAUACGGCGGGCCAAUACCCCGU